AGUAAUAAAGGCAACAGUGAAAAGCACCGUGCAGACUGUGAUAAGAAAUAAAAGUCAACCCGCAUGGUGGCACACUCCUGUGAUCCCAGCACUCGGGAGGCUGAGCCAAGAGGACUGCCAAUAGUUCAAGGCCAGUGUGGGCUCCAUAGUGAGUUCAAGGCCAGCCCAGACUAUAUAACAAGACCCUGUCUCAAAAAACACCAAGGGGCUGGGGAUUUAGCUUAGUGGUUCUGGCGCCUGCUUUGAAAGCGCAAGGUCCCGAGUUCAAUCCCCGGUACCAAAACAAAAAAACACCAAAAAUAAGUCACCUGUAUAGGAAGAGAGGGUGGCUCAGGGGUGGGGUGCUUACCUAGCAUUCACAAGUCCCUGGUCCAAUCCCCAGUGCAGGAAAACAAGUAUAAGAGAAAGCGAGUGGGGUGAGGGCUCCUUCAGUGCGGUCAGAGGGUGAGGAAGAGGUGGAGCUGCAGGUGCCACGGUGCUCCCAGCAGGGCAAGGGCAGGAGAUGCGUAGGAAGUGAGACAGGAGUAGAAGAAGCUGCCCAGUGACUUGGGCCUGGGGUGCUGGGGACGAGCUGAGUUUUUACCCUGACAGCAGCCUGCAUGGGUUCUUAAGAGGCACAGGCGGGUGAACUGUGGCCCUGGAGACCGGAACACAGCCGGGCCGAGCAGAGGUCUGGUGGGUGUGAGGAGCUGUGUGCGAACUGCAGCUGUGUGAGAAAUCGUCCCCAUGCACAGCGCCUCACGCCGUCUGACACAGCUCUGGCCUGGGAGCUAUCGUGAUGCUACCUUCGAGAUGUUGAGGGGGCCACAGCCCGCCGGGAGGCACAUACCAUCCCUCAUGCCUCAUUUUGCCGCGGUUGGCAGGAGGCCUCAGUUCCCUGCCACACGGAGCUCACCGUGGCACUGCCUGGGUGUCCUCAGGAUGCAGCGGCUGCCACUCCAGAGCGAGGGAUGGGGGCAUCUCCAGGGUCACAGUCAUUUCCCUCACGUAGAGUCCACCAGCAAAGGGUGGCUAAGCCCAGGCCGCCCUUGCGAGGAGAAAUGGCUGGUAAUUCAGGGACCAAGGCAGCGGUGUCCUGGGCCAAGACAGUGCAGGCAGUGGAGGAGGUGGGGGCACCCAGACCCGCCAGUGGCCGCAAUGUCAUAGGAGCAACCCUGCCUGAGGGACCGCCCUCUGGCCUUGGGGGUGAGCCACCGAGUGGCUGUGCUGUUUGGGAGUCCAGGGCAGGGUCCCAGAGUCCAGUGGGGCUGUUGGACCUCCCAGCUGGGCUUCUGGGAGACCUCUGGGGCAGCCUGCGCCAGGGAUAGGGCUGCCGGCUGGACAGUGAUGAUCUCCUGGAUGCCCCCGGGGAGGCCCAAAGUGCCUUCUAUGAAGGUCCUGGGCUCCAUGUGCAAGAAGCUUCCGGCAACCACCUGAACCCGGAGCCCAGCCAGCCGGCCCCCAGCGUGGACCUGGACUUCCUGGAGGAUGACAUCCUGGGCUCGCCCACCACGGCGGGUGCCGGUGGAGGGCGCGGCGCCGACCAGCCCCUGCAGAGCAUCCUUCAGCAGAGCCUGCAGGAGGCCAACAUCACGGAGGCAGACACUUGAGGCUGAGGCCGAGGCUGGACCUGGGCCCCCUUCCAGCUGCCCACGCUGCAGCCCGCAGAUGGUGGGGCAGGCCCGACAGGCGCUGCGGGGACGGCUGCUGUGGCUGCAGGACCCCAGGCCCUCUUCCCCGGCAGCGCUGACCUGCUGGGGCUGCAGGCCCGCCCACAGUGCUGACCCACCAGGCCCCUGGUGCCACCCCAGGACGUGGUCAACAAGGCUCUGAGCGUCCAGCCCUUCCUGCAGCCUGUGGGCCUGGGCAACGUGACCCUGCAGCCCAAUCCCGGGCCUCAGGGCCUGCCCACCGGCAGCCCUGGGGGCGCUUCAGCCGCCACUCUUGGCCUGGCGCCCAUCCAGGUGGUGGGCCAGCCCGUCAUGGCACUCAACCCCCCACUUCGCAGCUCCUGGCCAAGCAGGUGCCUGUCAGUGGCUACCUGGCCUCAGCGGCCGGCCCCUCGGAGCCAGUGACGCUGGCAUCGGCUGGUGUGUCCCCCCAGGGGGCCGGCCCUGGUCAUCCAGAAGAGCCUUCCGGCGGCUGCUGGCCACCACACUCAGGCGGGAACUCAGUGUUUGCAGGGGCAGGGGCCGCCACGGUGGCGGCCAGCGGGGCAGCAUCAGGACCGCCGCUGGCAGUGGCCCCAGGCCUGGGCACGUCACCUCUGGUGCCAGCGCCCAAUGUGAUUCUGCACCGCACACCCACGCCCAUCCAGCCCAAGCCCGCGGCGUGCUGCCCCCAAGCUCUACCAGCUGACACCCAAGCCCUUCGGCCCUGCAGGUGCCACACUCACCAUCCAGGGUGGGCCGGGGG
rnacentral:lncRNA from 1 species